rnacentral:hammerhead_ribozyme from 1 species
GAAGAGUCCCAAAUAGGACGAAACGCGCGUC